GGAAGGUUCAGCCCCCUCUGCGGACCAGGAAAGUUUAUUGUGCUUUUCCUGUCUGUUUUACAAUCCUUUGUUAGCUAUUUGCUCAACAUGGUGACCCAAGGGGUGACCUUCGCAUACAUAACUUGUAAGAAGCUAUUUCAGCAUGCAUGUUCCACCUGAAGGCAGGGCACACCCUCCUGCUAAUCUUGUGAACUCAGAACAAAAUACAGCAGUUGACUAAAAAUGACCACAUCUAUCAAUCUCUAAAUCACAUUCCAAGGAGGCUUAGGAAGAAAAAAAGGUGAACCAUCAUAAGAAAAACGAAGCAUUGCAUAACAGUCAAUAAAAGUAGCUGGAAAACCCUC